CCUUUGUAUACACUGCCCGUCGCUACUACUAAUUAAAUAGCUUAGUAAGGCCUUCGGACUAGCUUAGGGAGGUUAGCAACAACUACCCUAAGCUAGAAAGUUUGUUAAACUUAGUUAUUUAGAGG
rnacentral:rRNA from 1 species